UACAGAGGGUGCGAGCGUUAAUCGGAAUUACUGGGCGUAAAGCGUGCGUAGACGGUUUCGUAAGUCGGGUGUGAAAUCCCCCGGGCUCAACCUGGGAAUUGCAUUCGAAACUGCGAGGCUAGGGUACGGAAGAGGGAAGCGGAAUUUCUGGUGUAGCGGUGAAAUGCGUAGAUAUCAGAAGGAACAUCAGUGGCGAAAGCGGCUUCCUGGUCCAGUACCGACGUUCAGGCACGAAAGCGUGGGGAGCAAACAGG
rnacentral:rRNA from 1 species